rnacentral:lncRNA from 1 species
GAACCAGUCUGAACCAUUCUGGACCAGUUUGGCCCAGUAUCUCUGAGUUCCCUGGACCAGUCUGAACCGGUUUGGACCAGUCCAGAUCAGUUUGGGCCAGUAAUUCCCAGUUUCCCUGGACCAGUCCGGACCAGUCUGGACCAGUUUGGACCAGCUUGCUCCAGUUCCCCUGACCAGUAUCCCCCAGUCCCCUGGACCAGUUUGGCCCAGUUUGGCCCAGUUUGGACCCAGAAUUCCCAGUUCCCUGGACCGGUCCGGACCAGUUUGGACUCGCAAUUCCCAGUUCCCUGGGCCAGUUUGGACCAGUUUGGCCCAGUUUGGACCCAGAAUUCCCAGUUCCCCUGGACCAGUCCGGACCAGUUUGGCCCAGUUUGGACCCAGAAUUCCCAGUUCCCUGGACCAGUUUGGACCAGUUUGGACCAGUCCAGACCAGUCUGGACCAGUUUGGGCCCAGAAUUCCCAGUUCCCCUGGACCAGUCCGGACCAGUUUGGCCCAGUUUGGCCCAGUUUGGCCCAGUUCCCCUGGACCAAUCCAUUCCCAGUCCAUCCCAGUCCAUCCCAGUCCAUCCCAGUUACCGAACGCCAGGGGGGAGGGGGGGGCUGGGAUCAUUGGGAGCCCCCCCGGGACCGCCCAGGCCCCGCCCCCUUUAACA